rnacentral:rRNA from 1 species
GACCAGACUCCUACGGGAGGCAGCAGUGGGGAAUAUUGCACAAUGGGGGAAACCCUGAUGCAGCGACGCCGCGUGAGUGAAGAAGUAUUUCGGUAUGUAAAGCUCUAUCAGCAGGGAAGAAAAUGACGGUACCUGACUAAGAAGCCCCGGCUAACUACGUGCCAGCAGCCGCGGUAAUACGUAGGGGGCGAGCGUUAUCCGGAUUUACUGGGUGUAAAGGGAGCGUAGACGGCAUGGCAAGUCAGAUGUGAAAGCCCGGGGCUCAACCCCGGGACUGCAUUUGAAACUGCCAGGCUGGAGUGCAGGAGAGGUAAGUGGAAUUCCUAGUGUAGCGGUGAAAUGCGUAGAUAUUAGGAGGAACACCAGUGGCGAAGGCGGCUUACUGGACUGUAACUGACGUUGAGGCUCGAAAGCGUGGGGAGCAAACAGGAUUAGAUACCCCGGUA